UGAGUGAAGAAGUAUUUCGGUAUGUAAAGCUCUAUCAGCAGGGAAGAAAAUGACGGUACCUGACUAAGAAGCCCCGGCUAACUACGUGCCAGCAGCCGCGGUAAUACGUAGGGGGCAAGCGUUAUCCGGAUUUACUGGGUGUAAAGGGAGCGUAGGUGGUUCGGUAAGUCAGGUGUGAAAGCCCGGGGCUCAACCCCGGGAUUGCACUUGAAACUAUCGGACUUGAGUGCAGGAGAGGUAAGUGGAAUUCCUAGUGUAGCGGUGAAAUGCGUAGAUAUUAGGAGGAACACCAGUGGCGAAGGCGGCUUACUGGACUGUAACUGACACUGAGGCUCGAAAGCGUGGGGAGCAAACAGGAUUAGAUACCCUGGUAGUCCACGCCGUAAACGA
rnacentral:rRNA from 1 species